AUGAGCAGUAUGCGAUGACCCGCACGUACGGUUCUGUGAGAAGGGUAGUCGUAGCUGGCGGCCGCUGCUCGAUUUCGGU
rnacentral:ncRNA from 1 species